ACCCGUUGAUCCUGCGGGAGAUCGCUGCUAUUUGGGUUCGACUAAGCCAUGCAAGUCAAGGGGGUUUUUAACCACCGGCUGAAUGCUCAGUAACACGUCGAUAACUUGCCCUUAGGUCAGGCAUAACCAUGGGAAACUGUGGCUAACACCUGAUAGGAAAUUUUCUCUGGAACGAAUUAUUUCUUAAAAGCAAUGCCUAAGGAUAGGUCGGCGGCGGAUUAGGCUGUUGGUGAGGUAAUGGCUCACCAAACCGAAGAUCUGUAGGGGCUCUGAGAGGAGUAGCCCCGAGAAGGACACUGAGAAACUGGUCCUAGCCCUACGGGGUGCAGCAGGCGCGAAACCUUUACAAUGCACGCAAGUGUGAUAAGGGAACCCAAAGUGCUUAGUUUUACUAGGCUUUUGCUAAAUGUAAAUAAUUUAGAGAAUAAGCGGUGGGAAAGACUGGUGCCAGCCGCCGCGGUAACACCAGCGCCGCAAGUGGCGAUCCUUUUUAUUUGGCCUAAAGCGUCCGUAGCUGGUUAAGUAAAUCUUUUGUGAAAUUGUUUCGCUUAACGAAACAACGUGCAGGAGAGACUGCUCAACUAGGGACCGGGAGGAGUUAGAGGUAUGCUGGGGGGAGCGGUAAAAUGCUAUAAUCCCCGGUAGAUCACCUGUGGCGAAGGCGUCUAACUAGAACGGGUCCGACAGUGAGGGACGAAAGCCAGGGGAGCAAACCGGAUUAGAUACCCGAGUAGUCCUGGCCGUAAACGCUGUGAAUUAGGUGUUGCACAAUCUCCGUGAUUGUGCAGUGUCGAAGCGAAGGUGUUAAAUUCACCGCCUGGGAAGUAUGGUCGCAAGACUGAAACUUAAAGGAAUUGGCGGGGGAGCACUACAAGGGGUGCGGCGUGCGGUUUAAUCUAACUCCACACAGAGAAUCUCACCAGAAGCGACGGCAGGAUGAAGGUCAGUCUGAAGGGCUUACCUGACGAGCCGAGAGGUAGUGCAUGGCCGCCGUCAGCUCGUGCCGUAAGGUGUCCUGUUAAGUCAGGCAACGAGCGAGACCUGUAUCCACAGUUGCUAACGACUCAUUUUGAGAAUCGAGCACACUGUGGGGACUGCCCUGGAAACAGGGAGGAAGGUGCAGGCAACGGUAGGUCUGUAUGCUCCGAAUCUUCUGGGCUACACGCGCGCAACAAUGGUAUAGACAAUGGGUUGCAACUCCGAAAGGAGAAGCUAAACCUCCAAACUGUAUCUUAGUCCGGAUUGAGGGCUGUAACUCGCCCUCAUGACGCUGGAAUCCCUAGUAAUCGAACGUCAUCAGCGUUCGGUGAAUAUGUCCCUGCUCCUUGCACACACCGCCCGUCAAACCACCCGAGUUGGGUCUAGAUGAGGCUACAUUUUUAAUGCAGUCGAAUCUAAGCUUAGCGAGGAGGGUUAAGUCGUCACAAGGUA
rnacentral:rRNA from 1 species